GGUUGAUCCUGCCAGUAGUGAUAUGCUUGUUUCAAAGACUAAGCCAUGCAUGUGUAAGUUAAACCUUUUAUACAGAGAAACUGUAGAUGGCUCAUUAAAACAGUUGAUGUCUAUACAGUUCAACCUUAAAUGUAUAACUUCGGAAAUUCUGAAGCUAAUACAUGAAAAAUGACGAACUUUACGGAACGUCUAUUUUUAUUGCUUUGUGGAUCAGAACGCUUAUGCGUAAUUGAUUGAAAACGAAUAAAAAUUAGUAUCCCUUGUGGAAAAACUGUGUGAUCUCCUGACCUAU
rnacentral:rRNA from 1 species